UUCGCCUUCUCCUCACCUGGGCUAUCUCUGGGCGGCCGCCGCCUCCCCUCGCCCCCGGGGCGAGCAGGCCUUCCCCACCAUCCCUGCCCGCCGCCGGGGCGCUCCCGCCGCGCUGCCCUCCCCGGUUACCUGGGGUAUCCCGCCCCCGCCCAUGAGGCGCAGCCGCCGCUGCCCUCCCGCCAUCAGAGGAGCGCCAUGGCCGCAGCGCUGCCCGCGCCUCGCCGGCCUCGCCUCUAAUCCCAUUAGCGCCUAGAGGAGACCCAUGUUAUUUUAAUCGCCCUCCCGGCUAACGGUGUCGGUUGUGGGGCCGCAGUAACCGAGCUCCGGGGCAAACGCCUCAGCGCCUGCCGGGGCGGCCCCGUGAGGGGGAAGAUGAACAGGCUAUUUUUAACAGGAGUCAAUCAGCAACUUCCAGAUUGGGGGAAGUAUCUGGACAUCCCACUGUUAUCUCUGAGGCCUGCAUGGACCUGUUUGCUGAGCUAAAACCAAAAUUUCCAAGAAAGAAAAAGAGAGGAGUCAUAUCUGUCAAAGACAAAACAAUUCCUUGGAAUGUACAAGUUUGUCAGAUGCAAUGACAAUGGGGGUUAUUUUCUCCCUCCUCUGAAGUGAACUACAUGAAGAAUAUAAAACCCUUUUUAGUUUCUUUCAAGACUACCUAAUGUGAUAGAACAGAUCUGUUAAUUCUAGAUACAGAUAAUUUUGAAUAUCAGGCAAGUAUUUUUUUUACUACAUUAAAUACAUAAGGGAUUUACAUUCAUCUUUGUUUUACUAACUAAUGUCAAGACUUUUCUAGAUUCUAGUCAGUUAUUUAUAAGCAAUAAAACUUCACAUGCAGAUCAACGAUUGCUUCAAAUCAGAUUUUUAUAUCAAAUAAGCAAGUUUCUGUCCUCUGCUUCAGAGAAGACACAAUCAAUUCUAGCUUCCUUUAUACACUGCAGUUAUUGCUACUUUUGGCAUAGAUGAUCUGGCUCCAAAUUUGCUGUGAGUAGACCAAAUUUUUUUUUUUUUUAAUUGCCCCAGUAUAAAAAUAAAACUGCCUUUAUGAUAUUCCUGAUGUUGCACUAUCAAAUUGCAUAAGGCCUUCCAUCCUGUGGAAAACAUGAAGAGCAAAAGAAAAAGUGGGGGUAAUUAAGCAAUUUGCCAUUCACCCCUUAGCAGAGACCACAAAGUUUUGGAUUUAACUUGUGAGGUGUGGUGUGAGUCAGUCACUUGGUUUUAAGCAAAAGAAUAACACAAAUAAUGUACUAGUAAGGUUUUGUCUGGUAACGUAAAUAGACUUAGCUUCUGCUGUUAUGGCAGUUUAUGUAACAUUUUUCUGCUUUAUAUAAUAUUUCUCUUGCUUGUUCUUAGACAUUAAAAAAACAGAAGUCUGUACAAAACUGUUGGACAAGACUUUAUUUGUCCAAUUUAAAAUUGGUCACUGCAUUAGUAUUCUCUGAUACUGCAGUAUCUCUACUUCCUAUCAUGUUUUAAAAACAAAGUAGCAAAAGACAUGAAAUGAAGUUAUAUUUCAAUAUACUGUCUGUUCUUUCCCUUUGUUUGCCUCUAAUUAUUUAACAUCUUUUCUUGGAGCUUUGAAAGAAGAAGAGCGACCAUGUUGGGGUCAGGUGUACUCAGCUGGCAUAAAACACGGCCACAUGGAAGUGAUCAUUUUAUACCAUGUGAGGGUCUGGUAGCAUGGGUAAUCCUUGGAUUUUGGUGAGUGUUGAGAACAGUAUUUCUAACAAGGGAUUCCUGAAGUUGACCUGGAUCAUGUCUGUCCUGAGAUGGGUCAUGCUGUGAUCUGCACUGCUGCAAUGGCAGCAUGCACCAUGUUAACAGCUACAGGGUAAUUACUCUUCUCAUUAUAACCUACUAGUUUUGGGGUUUUUUCUUGUUAUAUGCUGGCAGAUUUGGAAGCUCUUUUGCCAGCUAAUCAAUUUGCCCACCAUCUGCAGGUAAAGAGCACCCAAGCAGUUAGGAAACUGACUGGUUCUUACUCAGCCCUGUGGUCUCCUGGGAGCUGCUCAUUGGCUCUCCAGACUUUGGAGCAGCAAGAGAGCAACAAAAAUGAAAAUAAACCUCUGGUGGUGUUUUGGGUUUUUUUCUUAAGUCCUAGUUUGGUUGGUUUGUUUUUGGGUUUUUUUUUAGUUAAUGAACCCCAGGGGUUUUUUUUCUGUGAAAUUUUUUAAAUAAUACACAAAGGAUAAAUUUUGAAGAUUAACUAUAAGGUCCAUAAAUAAAGAUCUCUCCUGGCACCCUGAACAUCUCAGCAAAUCUGUUCAUUUUAUUGCAGUAUUGCAAACUCUUCCUCAGAACCAUCUGCAACACUACUGAGAUUUAAAAACCAGAACACAGAAAAAAGACCAUUGCUUAAUGGAUAAUGAUCAAGGACAUUCUCAAACUCACUGCACUUAUCUUCCAGACAACUGCUCAAGCAGCUAAAGAACCUCUUCAUUGGUCUCACUCCCAAGUGAAAGAUAUAAACACUAAAGGAGCCAGAAAACUUCUCUAAAGAAAAUCAGCUGAUUUCUCACACAAAUCUAGUGUGAUAUUACUCCUCCAAAUCUUUGCUGGACCUUAGUGAUGAACAAAUAGAAUUAAUUAAGCAGUGACCACACAACAGAACAAAUAAACAAAAAUGAAUAUUCAAAUGGAGUUAACAAAAUCAAGUUUCUUAUCUGCUCAUGUAGACAAAAGCAAUGAUGUUCCACUUAUUGUGAGUGACCUCGCUGUGGUGGAGAUAGUGUUUUGCAGUGCUGCCAGUUUGAAUGUGUACCAGAGUACACUGACACUAAAAGAAAACACAGAUCUCUCUAGAAGACAGAAGACAUAGUGUUUGUAGGAACAAAGCAAAAAUACCAACACUUGCAAGUAGUCACUGCAAAACACAUUCAGUCUGGUGAUCUGUGCACAUCACUGUGACAGCAGCAAUAAAUCACAAGCUCUGCAACUGUUCAGAGGGAAGGUUUCCUGUGAACCUGAAGCCAAAGAUUAAGGUGGAUCACAUGAUAUUGGAUUCACUCCAUUCAAUAGAUAAGUUUCUGGUUAUCUAAUGCAAAAAAAACCCAUACAUACCAUCUGUCUUGAACAUUUAUGAAAUGUUACUACUGUGAUAUCUACACUGUGAACAAAACAGAAAUAGGCUGCUCUUGCCUUCCUUUAUUUUCAUACAAUCACAUCUCUCAGUAAGAUGCAUUAUUUUUAAAUGAUCUCUUCUACUGGCAACUUCUGAAAGUAUAGCUGUCAACAUUGUAUUGCACUUUUUACUUGGUCAUCUGAUCAAAGGUAUUUAUCUACAUAAUUCCUACUGACUUCUGUAAAUGUUGACAAAAUAAUGCUAUUCCACCAGAAUAAAACAUUAAACUCUCUUAUACAACUCAAAUCUGAAAAAUUUCUAAUGGCUGGAAAACACACUAAAAAAAAUCGUUAGCAAAGCAGUGGAAUAGAGUUGUCCAGUAGCAAAGAAAAAAAAGUUCUACAUAAGUAUCCUGAUGCUGUUCUGGUUGCAAGGAAUUUUAUUCUUUUGAUGGAUUUAAGAUUAGGGUAGCACCAAUGUCAUUUCUCAGCUACUUGUCAUCCUACUUGAUGCAGACAUCUGACAUCUCAUGACAAAUCUGAUGCUGUUGAAGCUCAGCAUCUUUGAUGAACUGUAUUACAAAUACAACCAAAUUCAAGGUCAUAGCUAGGAUUCUAAAUGAAUAUGAUAAGAUAAAAUUAAAUAUAAUGCACAGAAUCUCAUUUGCAUUUCUAUCAUCUCCUAUAUGAGCAUCUCUGAAGGAGUAUAAUGGUGAAUAGCUUCAGCCUUAAGAGUGAUGAAUUUAUGGGGGAGUUGGCUACAAAUGUUCUCUGAAUCUUCUUAUAAUCUUCAGAUUGAAGUUGCAUUUUCCAUUUUCUUUGUCAUAGGUCUUUUACAGUGCAAAGAACACCAAAAUAAUUGUCACCUUUUUUUCCCUUACAAAGGCAUUGUCAAACUACUGUACAAAUAAUGUUUAUCUGUUCACACACCUAACACGCACCAGUGACAAACAUUCCUGCUCUGGUAUAUAGCAUUAUUUUAAAAUGACUCCACAUCCUCUCCUAACCUACUGUACAUAAUCUUAUCACCUCCUGUCUCAGUUUGUGUUUCUCCAUAUGUCAUUAGCAUGCUUUAGUCUAGCAAACAGCUACUUGCCCUUUGAAUUCAAUUGGCCUUCACUAGAUGGUGCAAGAGAAGACUAUUUUCUGCUAUUUUCAGUCAAAAGACCUUGAAGAGACAUUCUGGUUCUUCACAUGGUUUUCUGGCUAGCAUUGAAUAGAAAGAGACUAGUAAGGAAACAGCCAUAGAAAAGCACUAUAGAUUUCAUCUUAACUUCUUCAGCUGGCCCAGUAUUGAGACAGCUUGAGACAUUUUCACGGAGUUUGUUGCUAGCUUGUGAUAUGCUUUCUUUUUUGAUGUUUCCCUCUCCAAUAUCAUAAGCUAAUUUUUUCUUUGCAGUCUGUUGCAAGUGUUUUACAAAGAACAAAUUCAUCUUGUAUCACCUACACAAAGUGACAAUGCUGUCUUCCAUUUUUUGCAGCAGCAGCAGUGCUGAAGUUACUCAUAAAUUGUGCUGUGCAUUUGACAUACAGCCAACAACUGGAAGAAGCAAAUUCACCCCUCCCCAGAAUUGAGAAAGUAGCCUUGAGAAGAAAAGAAGAGAUAAAACCCAGUGCGCAUAAAGGACCAAAUGGCUCCUGGAACAGCUGAUUGAUUGCGUCUUACUAAAGCUAUGGGAGUAGUUGGCACAGUGGAACAUAAAUCUUGAUAGAAGGCAGAACCAGUGGACAAGGAUUCACUGUAUUCUGAAAUUCUUCAAUAUAAAGAACAGUGAACAGCAUCAGAGAGGAGUUUUUCCAAUAGAUAUUUUCUGCAUCAUAAUACUUGGGCUGCUCUAGAUCACCAACCACCAGUUCCAGCUAAACUUUCUGUAUUACU